AAAAUUUUGCAAAUUGUAUCUAUCUAUAAAAUAUUUUUAUUUUAUAAUUUACAAUUGUUAUUAAGUAACGUUCUGCCAAACCCGUCACGCCAAACCCGUCCCGUAAAAAAACCAUUAUUUUAUUAAUGUUAAUCUUAUUUAUGAUAUGUUUAUGAAUUAUUGUCUAAAUAUUUUAGUCGAUGUGGGACGUUGAACUCAAACAUUUUUCGCCAAUUGGUUAAUAUAUGUUUAUUUUUAAAAUUUCGAAUCACAAAUUAUGGCGGAAAGAAUAGAGAUUUUUUUAAACUUUAUAUAUUAUAUAAUGAUGUUAAAAAAUUAUGAUAUAUUAAACUUUUUAUAAUUUUAAAUAUUAAUAAUGUUUUAUAAAUUUAAAAUAUUU
rnacentral:sRNA from 1 species